rnacentral:rRNA from 1 species
GAUGAACGCUGGCGGCAUGCCUUACACAUGCAAGUCGAACGGCAGCGGGGGAGAAGCUUGCUUUUCCUGCCGGCGAGUGGCGAACGGGUGAGUAAUACAUCGGAACGUGCCCUGUAGUGGGGGAUAACUAGUCGAAAGAUUAGCUAAUACCGCAUACGACCUGAGGGUGAAAGUGGGGACCGCAAGGCCUCAUGCUAUAGGAGCGGCCGAUGUCUGAUUAGCUAGUUGGUGGGGUAAAGGCCUACCAAGGCGACGGUCAGUAGCUGGUCUGAGAGGACGAUCCGCCACACUGGGACUGUGACACGGCCCAGACUCCUACGGGAGGCAGCAGUGGGGAAUUUUGGACAAUGGGCGAAAGCCUGAUCCAGCAAUGCCGCGUGUGCGAAGAAGGCCUUCGGGUUGUAAAGCACUUUUGUCCGGAAAGAAAUGGCUCUGGUUAAUACCUGGGGUCGAUGACGGUACCGGAAGAAUAAGGACCGGCUAACUACGUGCCAGCCGCCGCCGUAA